rnacentral:rRNA from 1 species
ACCUUUACACUGCGGGAAACCGCGAUAAGGGGACCCCGAGUGCCAGCAUCUAAUGCUGGCUGUCCCGCUGUCCAAACAACAGCGGUUAGCAAGGGCCGGGCAAGACCGGUGCCAGUCGCCGCGGUAACACCGGCGGCCCGAGUGGUAGCCGUUAUUAUUGGGUUUAAAGGGCCCGUAGCCGGCCUAUUAAGUCUCUUGGGAAAUCUGGCGGCUUAAUCGUCAGGCGGCCAAGAGAUACUGGUAGGCUUGGGACCGGGAGAGGUGGGAGGUACUCCAGGGGUAGGGGUGAAAUCUCGUAAUCCUUGGGGGACCACCGAUGGCGAAGGCAUCCCACCAGAACGGGCCCGACGGUGAGGGACGAAAGCUGGGGGCACGAACCGGAUUAGAUACCCGGGUAGUCCCAGCUGUAAACGAUGCUCGCUAGGUGUCAGGUGUGGUGCGACCGCAUCUGGUGCCGCAGUGAAAACUUGAAGCGAGUCACCUGGGAAGUACGGUCGCAAGGCUGAAACUUAA